GCUUCGAUGGUCUAGUGGUUAAGACGUCGCGUUGUGGCCGCGAAGACUCAGGUUCGAUUCCUGGUCGGGGCA
rnacentral:tRNA from 1 species